rnacentral:rRNA from 1 species
CCUACGGGGGGCAGCAGUGGGGAAUAUUGGGCAAUGGGCGCAAGCCUGACCCAGCAACGCCGCGUGAAGGAAGACGGCUUUCGGGUUGUAAACUUCUUUUCUCAGGGACGAAGCAAGUGACGGUACCUGAGGAAUAAGCCACGGCUAACUACGUGCCAGCAGCCGCGGUAAUACGUAGGUGGCAAGCGUUAUCCGGAUUUACUGGGUGUAAAGGGCGUGUAGGCGGGACUGCAAGUCAGAUGUGAAAACCAUGGGCUCAACCUAUGGCCUGCAUUUGAAACUGUAGUUCUUGAGUGCUGGAGAGGCAGACGGAAUGCCUAGUGUAGCGGUGAAAUGCGUAGAUAUUAGGAAGAACACCAGUGGCGAAGGCGGUCUGCUGGACAGCAACUGACGCUGAGGCGCGAAAGCGUGGGUAGCAAACAGGAUUAGAUACCCGUGUAGUC